rnacentral:tRNA from 1 species
GUCCGGUUAGUUUAUGAAAAAACGUCAGUUUGUGAAACUGAAAAAGAGCUCCCCUAAUCCUCACCGGACC